rnacentral:rRNA from 1 species
AUUGAACGCUGGCGGCAUGCCUAACACAUGCAAGUCGAACGAGAUCUUCGGAUCUAGUGGCGCACGGGUGCGUAACGCGUGGGAAUCUGCCCUUGGGUUCGGAAUAACAGUUAGAAAUGACUGCUAAUACCGGAUGAUGACGUAAGUCCAAAGAUUUAUCGCCCAAGGAUGAGCCCGCGUAGGAUUAGCUAGUUGGUGAGGUAAAGGCUCACCAAGGCGACGAUCCUUAGCUGGUCUGAGAGGAUGAUCAGCCACACUGGGACUGAGACACGGCCCAGACUCCUACGGGAGGCAGCAGUGGGGAAUAUUGGACAAUGGGCGAAAGCCUGAUCCAGCAAUGCCGCGUGAGUGAUGAAGGCCUUAGGGUUGUAAAGCUCUUUUACCCGGGAUGAUAAUGACAGUACCGGGAGAAUAAGCUCCGGCUAACUCCGUGCCAGCCGCCGCGGUAAGAC